UCAACAUCUCGGAGAUCAGCGACGCGGGGGUUUUCAAAUGGACAGAAGAACGCGCGUGUGUUUAUCCGGUGGAGAGAGGCUCAUGAUGCUGAAUGCUGUCAUCAAUGGCUCUGAAGCUUUUGUGGUUGGAGCAGGACCUGCAAGGAAAGAUGAUGGCAGCAUUUGGAGGAAAAAAGGUUUCAGGGAGUUAACUCAAAUAUAAAGUAAGGCUAUUUUUAAUACAUAAAUCAAAUGACAUUGGGCUGUUAAAAUGACUGCUUUU